rnacentral:lncRNA from 1 species
UGAUUUAUACCGUAAAAAAGUGAAAAUUGAUUUUAAAAUAGGGAAACUAAUUAUGUAGAAAUAGAAAAGAUAUGAGGAUCAAAAUUAUAAUUUAAAUUAAAAAUAUAAAAAAAAUGAAAUUGAUUUUAAAAUUGGGAAAAUAAUUAUGUAGAAAAAAUACGAGGACCAAAAUUAUAAUUUAACUUAAAAAUAUUAAAAAUAUUCAUACGGAUUGAGG